GCUGUGAUGGGGAGAAGACAUUGUGUCUUCGAGUCGUUGAUUUCACACUGCCGAGAAAAGCCUCUAGAUAGAAAAUAGGUGCCCGUACCGCAAACCGACACAGGUAGUCAAGAUGAGAAUUCUAAGGUGAGCGAGCGAACUCUCGUUAAGGAACUCGGCAAAAUGACCCCGUAACUUCGGGAGAAGGGGUGCUCUUUAGGGUUAAC
rnacentral:rRNA from 1 species